GACGAACGCUGGCGGCGUGCUUAACACAUGCAAGUCGAACGGGUCUGCCCUGUUUUUUGCGGGGUGGGUCAGUGGCGAACGGGUGAGUAACACGUGAGUAACCUUCCCCUCACUUCUGGAUAACCGCUUGAAAGGGUGGCUAAUACGGGGUGUUCUGGCUGUGCCGCAUGGUGUGGCUGGGAAAGAUUCACUUUUGUGGUGUUUUGGUGGGGGAUGGGCUCGCGGCCUAUCAGCUUGUUGGUGGGGUGAUGGCCGGCAAAGGCUAUGACGGGUAGCCGGCCUGGGAGGGUCGGCGGUCACACUGGGGCGGAGAGACCGCGCAGACUCCGGGGGGAGGCAGCAGGGGGGGGUAUGGCACAAUGGGCGGAAGGCUGAUGCAGCGACGUCGCGGGAGGGAUGGAGGCCUUCGGGUUGUGAACCUCUUUCGGCGGUGAAGAAGGUCCUGCUCUUCGUGGUGGGGUUGACGGUAGCCGGGUUAUGAAGCGCCGGCUAACUACGUG
rnacentral:rRNA from 1 species